GCCAGGCACAGUGGUGCACACCUGUAAUCCCAGCUGCUUGGGAGGCUGAGGCAGGAGGAUUGCUAGUUCAAAACCAGCCUCAGCAACUUAGCAAGGCCAUAAGCAACUCUGAAAGACCCUGUCUCUA
rnacentral:sRNA from 1 species